UACGGAGGGUGCAAGCGUUGUCCGGAUUUAUUGGGUUUAAAGGGUGCGUAGGCGGCUUUUUAAGUCAGCGGUGAAAGACCAGGGCUCAACCCUGGAACUGCCAUUGAUACUGAAAAGCUUGAGUAAAGUUGAGGUAGGCGGAAUUGACGGUGUAGCGGUGAAAUGCUUAGAUAUCGUCAAGAACACCGAUUGCGUAGGCAGCUUACUAAGCUUUAACUGACGCUGAGGCACGAAAAGUGUGGGGGAUCAAAACAGG
rnacentral:rRNA from 1 species